CACGUAGGGACCAAGCGUUGUCCGGAUUCAUUGGGCGUAAAGAGCUCGUAGGCGGCUCAGUAAGUCGGGUGUGAAACCUCCAGGCUCAACCUGGAGACGCCACCCGAUACUGCUGUGGCUAGAGUCCAGUAGGGGAGCGUGGAAUUCCUGGUGUAGCGGUGAAAUGCGCAGAUAUCAGGAGGAACACCGGUGGCGAAGGCGGCAUCCUGGACCGGCAUUGACGCUGAGGAGCGAAAGCCAGGGGAGCAAACGGG
rnacentral:rRNA from 1 species